GACGAACCGUGCGAACGUUGUUCGGAAUCACUGGGCUUAAAGGGCGUGUAGGCGGCUUGCCAAGUCAGGGGUGAAAUCUUUCGGCUCAACCGGAAAAGUGCCUUUGAUACUGGCAGGCUUGAGGGAGGUAGGGGCAUGUGGAACUUCCGGUGGAGCGGUGAAAUGCGUUGAUAUCGGAAGGAACGCCGGUGGCGAAAGCGGCAUGCUGGCCCUCUUCUGACGCUGAGGCGCGAAAGCCAGGGGGAGCGAACGGGAUUAGAUACCCCG
rnacentral:rRNA from 1 species